GUCUUAUUGAAAAUAAUUUUAAGUCAAUCUGCCCAAUGAGAAAUUUUAAUGGCUGCAGUAUAAUUGACUGUACAAAGGUAGCAUAAUCAAUUGGUUUUUAAUUGAAAUCUUGAAUGAAAGGAUUAAUGGAAUAUAUUCUGUCUCAUAUUUAUUUUAUGAAUUUAAAAUUUUAAUAAAAAUGUUAAAAUUUAUUUAUGGGACGAUAAGACCCUAUAGAAUUUUAUAUUAAAUUAUUUUUAUAUUGAUAUAAAUUUUAAUUUAAUAUUUAAUUGGGAGAAUUAUUAAAUUUAAUAAAUUUUAAUUUAUAUAAACUUGAAUUAAAGGAAAAAAAAUGAUCUUGAAUUUAAAAUUGUUAGAAUAAAUUACCUUAGGGAUAACAGCGUUAUAUUUUUUUAUAGAUCAUAUAGAAAAAAAUGAUUGCGACCUCGAUGUUGAAUUAAGAUAAAUUUUAAAUGCAGGAGUUUAAUAAUUAAGUCUGUUCGACUUUUAAUAUCUUACAUGAUUUGAGUUCAAAUCGACGUAAGU
rnacentral:rRNA from 1 species